AUGCAGCUCUGGGCCAUGGAGGGCGUGAAGGAUGCGCUGGGUGACACGGUCAUCAUCGACCGCCUCGACAGUUGCACAUUCGAGCGCGCGGACAUGAAGCUGUUCGCCGUCUGGGUGUGGUUGUGGCAGCUGCACCACAUCCCCACCAUGUGAACCAUGUGGAAGCACGCCGGAGGUGCCAGCCGGGUGGAGGAGAUGCUCGGCUUCUCUCCCCCGAGCCGGGUUGUCGCGGCGCCGCCAAACCUGCUCCGCUGGGAUGUGCUGGUGCACAUCGACUGCCUCGAGGACUGGACACCUCUGUCCCCAUGCUCCUCCCACUCCGGGCAGAGCGGCCUCCCGUAUCUGUGCUACCCCCAUGCGGGGGGGGUGGCCGGUGUGGAGGACGGCAGGCCUUCACAGAAUCUGAGGCCGCGCUUGCGCCCGCCCGCGCAGGUGGAGUCAUCGGGCUGCAAGGGCAUGCCCUUAGCGAGCCACAGGCGCAGCCAUGACGGCGACGACAACGGCGGCUAG
rnacentral:rRNA from 1 species